rnacentral:lncRNA from 1 species
GUUUGAAGGUCUAUUUUUAGUUUAAUAAAUGGGCCUUAGUAAUUAAUUUAUAUUUUUCUGAGUAUUAUAAAAUUUCUCUUGAUAUUAUUCACUUUAUUAUGAUAUCUAGGUAUGUGUUACCAUGUAUUAUCAUUAUCAUCAUCAUUAUUCCUGUAAAUUGUGCAACGUAGGCUUGGAGAUAAACAUCUUUUGUCCAUUCUGGAAAAUUAUGAGUGAUUCUUUUUUCUUCCUUUGGGAUCUUAUUAACUCACGUUGAAAGCACUCUUUUAUUAUCCCUAUUUCUUUGUCUUUCUGUACUUCGCCAUGGGCUUUGCCCCCACGUUUCUCUUCUAGUUUACUUAUACUUUGGGGCUACUUUGCUUUUUAAAUCAUCCAUUAAGUUUUAAAUUUCAAUGAUUAGGUUUUACUGUGUUUAGAAUUUGUACUUGGUAACUUUUCAAAAUUGCAUUUGUUUAUUUUUCAUCAGUCUCCUGUCCUUUUGUUUUCUAUAACAUUUUAUUACAUUAAUUUUAAACACGCUUAUUCUUUAUAGUCUGUUUAAUAAUAUCAUCCUAUUUUCUCAAGUUGUGCAGGUGUUAGUUAAUUCUCUUGCUUAUCUGUGCAUCUAAUUCUUAGUCAUGGUAAAUUUUUUUCAGGUCCUGUUUUGUAAAUUUUUUUGAUAUUAGCUUAUCUUAUGCAAAGUAUGAGGUUAUUAAGGGAAUUCCAAGCAUCUUGCUUUUUGAAAUAUCUCUCUGGAGCGCUUUGCAUUUGUUUCCAACAGACACCAGAGAUGUUUCAAUGACCAGAGGCUAAUGUCUAUGUUUAUUUCUCAGUAUGGGAUUUCUUGGAACACAUAAAUAGUGCAAAACUGCACCUUAAUUAAUCAGAGAGGCAUAGCUUGGAUUGUGAAUUCUCACUGGAGACGUUCUGUGCCACCCAGAGUGAAAACAGAGGCUAGCUCAAUUAUAGCCAUUCACAGCCAGCCUUUCCAUGGUAGCUGGAAGUCUAGGUAGGUGGGAACAGUGUAUCCUUACGUGCUCUUCAUCACACCCUGCCAGCACUAGCAUCAGCUGGCAUGACCACUGCUCUACCUCUCACCCACGUCUAUGUUUCUGGUGCGUGGGGUCUCCCUUUCCUGCAUGCUUGAUCGGUCCGGUCAUUUCACUUAUGUAUUUACUUAUUUAUUAAUCCUGAAUAUAAAGGUGGAAGGUCUGAAAAGCUAUGACUUUAUAAAAUGAAGCCUGAGAGCUUACGAAGUAAAUAAGGACAUGAAUAAAGAGCAUUAUUGGUAACUCACUAAUGAACAAUACAAAUGACUAACAAAAAUUGUUAAUUAAAUAAAGACAAAAUAAACUCCUAUUUGUUUACUCAUCAAAAACAGGACAGAUUAAGAAGACUGGUAAGGUAUAAAGAGUCUAGACACCCUUAUACACCGCACAACUUCCAAAGAAUAUUUGGCUACAUACAAGAUGCUUAAAAAUAUGAGCGACUUAUAACCAACUCUUUCAGAAUUUCUACUUCUAGUAUUCUUUUCUUGAGGAAAGAAUCAGGCCUACCUAUAAAAUUUUCACUGGUAUCAUUUAUAAUAGCAUUAAAAAUCUUUCAAUAAACUUGUGAAGAACUGAUCAAAUACAAUAAAUAUUGACGGGAAACUAUGGUAAAGCAGUUUUUGUUUUUGUUUUUGCUUUUUUAAAGCAGGUUCUAAGCAGUAGGAUCCAAAUAUGUAAAACAUCUAUAGAUAAAAUUUUACGUGAAAAAAUAUGGUUUAUACACAAAAAUACUAACAGUGUGAAUUCCUUAAAUGAAUAUAUGAGUUCUUCAUCAGAAAACAGAAAUGAAAAAUGCUAUUUUUUAAAGCACAUAUACAGUCAGUCCAGUAAACUAGUUUGAAGCUAUGUAAACUUCUUAUCAUUCUCUGGUAAUAUUCUCUUUAUUUCAAUGACAUUCCCCUUCCUGCACAGACUUGGAGUUAUCAAAAGCAGUCACCAGUCAUUGUUUUACUCAUUUUUAUGGCCUUAAUCAGAGCUCAUAAUAAAUACUCAAUAAAAGUAUAUAUAAUUUAGUCAGUAAAUAAAAUUAAUGAAUAAAUAAAAAUUUUAAAUGAUGGUGCUGCAAUCAACUUUUGAUAGGAUAGUGAUAAUUUAAAAAAUAAAAUGAAAUGAAUCACUGGAUUAAAAUGAACCACUGUGAUAACAUUCUAAAAUGUGGAUCAAGCAUUUUAGAAAUCGAUCUCUUUAAAUAGGUAACAUUUUGAAACUACUGUAACGCCAUAGUUAACUCUAUGCAUAAGGUUUAGCUUAAAACCAAACAGAAGUAAAAUAUUUGACUGACUAUAAGAAGAAUUUCAAACUAUCAGUAAUAUCCUCAUAAACCAUCCCCCUACAAUCCAUUUCAACUGAAGAAUUUAGCUGCAUUCCUUCUGCUAAUGGCUCUUCAGUUUAUGCUUCUUGAAACAACUCAUAGGAGAGAAAAGAAUGGGCAUAUUUUCAGUGCAUUCAAGACUACACUUCCGUUCCCAGCCUUACUAAGCUCCAUCAUAAGUGGGUAUCAAAAGGGGCUCUAAAUGAUCUCUGCCAAAGUGCUGGCUCCAUAUAUACAGUCAUAAAAGCAACCAAGAAAAAUCCGUCUAAAACAAGAUAGAAAACUCCUUAAGAAGCAAAUUAUGUACUAUAUAUGUGACAGUAGAAGGUUUAGAUACAUGUAAAGGAAGUGCCUUCUGUUCUGCUAUUUUAGCAUGGCAUCCUACUCUGGAAGUCAGGCAAGUUCUGUUGAUAUAUGCUUAGUAAAAUAUUGUUUUCAUAUUUAAAAAUCGAAUCAAUAUUCAACAAUAUAACAUUUAGAUAAUGGCAAAGGGUAAGCUUUGGGAUUUACAAGGAAUGAAUGAUCUUGAAGAAAACACAGAACUUUAACUAGGAUUUUAUGUGUGGUUAUCCCAGAGUUCUUUUUAGUAUCCUAGAGAACAAACGCAUACUUCAGCCCCAAAUGUUACAAUAAUAUAAAGAUAAUUAUACUGUCAGAAAUCUGGUAUGAGAUUCUGUUGUCUGAAUGGUGUGUAUUUUUAAUCAAUCCAAAAUCUCUGAUUUGGGAAUUUAAUACCAGUGAUUGCUGUUAAUUUCUUCAUAUUAGUACUCAUCAUAAAAAUCGUAUUUCCAUAUGAGUUUUUCUUCUCUUCAUAAAAUCUUAUCCCGAGACAGCUAAAAUCCUUCGGAGAGCACAAACAGUCAAACCUGGGCUCACAACACAGAGAUAAAGCAUUCUUUAUAGCAGCAUUCAUUAAGGUCCUAGACAGAGUACAAAAAGCAGCAACAGGGAGCUUUCCCCUAAAAGCUUUUAAUACAACUCUUUCCAAGACCCAUUAAAUCGGUCCAGCACUACAGCCUGCGGCCACCCCCAUCUAUUGAUUCCCGUCGCUACAGAGCCCCCUACUCUGUCUGACUAAAGUCUGAGGUAAUUUAUGCCUGAUGAAUAGUCCACUGAAGAGUCACUAGGACAAAAGCAGCGAGUCAGAAUCCAAACUCUAAGUGAGUCAGUUGUCCAGUGUUGUCUGUUUGUUCCUGAAAAGUCCCUGCGAACAUACAUAUUUUAUAAACCUCUUUCCAUUGAUUUCUAUUUGACUUACCCAAACAGGCCCUACUCAUCGUUAACAUUUAUUGAACACAUCCUAUGUGGAGGAACGAAGACCCGUGCAUCAAACAUUAUUUUUAUAACAGCAUGAUGGGUCCUGCAUCCCUGUUUUACAGAUGAGAUGAAGCUCAGAAAGUUUAAGUAACUGUCCAGAACAUCAAAGCCAAUAGGUGACAGAGCGCUGUUUGAAAAAGCCUUAUACUGAAUCUUUCUACUCACUUUGUAUUUUUAUUUGGGGCUGCAUUUCCAUGGACGAGGGCCUGGGGUGGACCUAGUUUUGCGGUGGCAAGUGACAGGGACACAAUCCUUGUGUUCACGGUGCUUCCAGUCCCGUGAGAGCAAAAACCAUAUGUGAGUAAAUUAAAAAUCAAUGGCAAAUUAUAAUAAUUACAAUGAGGAAUGAAAUAAGUUCUGUUCCCACAGAAGAAUAUUUUUUCUUUUUUGCAGAAUUAAUAACCGAAAAUGUCUUUCUUUUACAUUUAUUUGGCACACUGAGCUUAUAUUUUCAAUAAGGUACAUCCAUAAAAAGAUUUUUAUCACUUUCUUUCUAAUCCAAAGGAUGACUCAGAGUAUUCUUAAUUCAGACAAGCUUAAGUUCUUGGAAACGGAAUAUCCUUUAUCCAUAAGAUACCCACAUAUUCUGAACCAUGAAGUCCCAAGUAUGCUUCUGGUCUCAGUGCCCUUUCCCCGUUAGCAGUCUGUGUUCUCCAGAGUUUGGGCUGUAGGAGAUGCCUCUACUAAUACACUAUUUAGAGACAUUCUGGAUGUGUUUGGGGAGAACGGCGGUGAGCCUAAACUACUCAUCAGGUCCUGCAGUCUCUGCUAGAAUCAUUACACAUGCGAACUCCUUAGGCUCCAUCACCUCGCCAAGUAGAUGACUGCUGUGCUGACUUCACUGGCGGGAAAAGUUAGAGGGCAAGAAACAUGCUCGAGAUCAGAAAACGCAUCCAAGCCCUUGUGGAUUCAGUCUUUGAUCAUCACAUGGAUUGUCUUUCUUACAUGCGCGCGCACACACACACACACACACACACAACACACACACACACACUAUACAUAUGCAGAAAAUGGCCUGUUCUUUGCGGAUGGCCUUGACUGGAGCACUAAGAACAGAAGUGUCUUGAAGACAUCAUUUACGAUUCCCCAGGUCAGACUUCCUAAGCGUCUCUCAAACACACCCUGUUAAUCACGUCACCAUUCGUUCUCCAAAUACUGACCGAGCCCCUUCUUGGUGCCAGAUAUUGCAGUAGCCACCAGGAUGCAACUAAAGACACGAUGAAUGUAGGCUGCCCCUGUCUAUGUGGAGUUUGAAGUCUAGCAGAAAAAGCAAACGAAAACAAGUAAGAAGCAUAAAAUAACUGUAAAUUGCUCUAAAUGUUAUGAAAUUUAGGCAAAACAAAGUCUACUAGCUUCCUCAUGGGUUAUCUUAUUCCAGCAUGCCAAUAUACCAACCCCCAUGCCAUCUCUAAAACUUCUAAACACAAACUUUAAAAUAUUUCUCCAGUAUUCAAAUUCCUUUAAAAGCUCCAUAAAAUCAUCAGCCUAAGUCCAUGUGAUGCAAGCUACUAUGAUGCGUCCUCUGGCUUCAGCUUUUGUGUCCACUUGACAUUAUAGGCUUAUAACCUAUGACAUUUUUUUUUCAUAAUUGAAAAGUUGUGACCUGAAAAA